rnacentral:rRNA from 1 species
UACAGAGGGUGCAAACGUUUGUUCGGAAUUACUGGGCGUAAAGCGCGUGUAGGCGGCUCUGCAAGUCGGAUGUGAAAUCCCACGGCUCAACCAUGGAAGUGCAUUCGAAACUGCAGGGCUAGAGUCCUGGAGAGGAAGGUGGAAUGCUUGGUGUAGAGGUGAAAUUCGUAGAUAUCAAGCGGAACACCGGUGGCGAAGGCGGCCUUCUGGACAGUGACUGACGCUGAGACGCGAAAGCGGUGGGGAGCAAACAGGG